rnacentral:rRNA from 1 species
UACGUAGGCAGCGAGCGUUGUUCGGAAUUACUGGGCGUAAAGAGUGUGUAGGCGGUGCUCCCAGUCUGUUGUGAAAUCUCCCGGCUUAACUGGGAGGGUGCAGCGGAAACUAGAGUGCUAGAGGGUGGGAGAGGUAAGCGGAAUUCCUGGUGUAGCGGUGAAAUGCGUAGAUAUCAGGAGGAACACCCGUGGCUAAGGCGGCUCUCUAGUACGGUACUGACGCUGAGACGCGAAAGCGUGGGGAGCGAACAGG